UACGUAGGUGGCAAGCGUUGUCCGGAAUUAUUGGGCGUAAAGCGCGCGCAGGCGGCCUUUUAAGUCUGAUGUGAAAGCCCACGGCUCAACCGCGGAAGGUCAUUGGAAACUGAAAGGCUUGAGUACAGAAGAGGAAAGCGGAAUUCCACGUGUAGCGGUGAAAUGCGUAGAGAUCGGAAAGAACACCAACGGCGAAAGCACUCUGCUGGGCCGACACUGACACUGAGAGACGAAAGCUAGGGGAGCGAAUGGG
rnacentral:rRNA from 1 species